GUAAGACUCUGAUGAACAAAUUUUUAUUUGCCAAGGUUUUGGUUGUUUCUAACAAUCAUUUAGAAGGUGAGGAUGAAACUGUCUUUUGUUACAGAAGGGCCAGGCUUGGAAUGAGACUUCCUGUUGAAAAUGGUCUUGGGACUAGGACUGAAUCAUAACACUGGCUUCCCUGGUUCUCCAGCUUGCAACGCAUAGUUGUGGGACUUCUCAACCUUCAAAACCAAGACAAGCAAGGAAACAACUGAGUCACUGGAGGAUAUGCAGAUUUCUGGGAUGACAGGGAGGUGGGUCUAGAAAGCUGCUCCACAGGAAUCGUCUAACAAAGCCACUUCCGCAGCACCUGGAGACUUUGGGACCCUUGAGAGUUGUAGACCUUCCUUACGGGAGGAAGAACUGCGAGAAGCUGGAUUCAGAUCCAAUCCCUCCUGCAGGAAGAGUUCAAGAGUCUAGUCCAAG